GUGCUCUGAGGGACGUGGAAGGAUUCCACUGAGCCUCCUCACAGCGGAGGGGAGGAGGGCCCCGUGGGCCGCGCUCAGGCCCUCUUCACAGGCAGCCCUUCUGACCCCAUCGGUGGCACCUACUGGGCGUCCAGAUUGGAUCUUUGUUUGAACCAGAAACUCAGCCAGAGCACAUUCAAAAUCCACCAAUCACAAGCAAUUCUUUUCUUGGCGACGUAAAACAGGGGAGGCUCCGAGGCUGCAAACAGGACAUCCUCCCAAGCUGAGGCUCUUAACGGCCGAUCGAUGGUGGCCUCCCCUCACCACCCCGCCCCCUCCCUCACUGAUCGGGGUGACCGCAAAAAUUCCCCUCGGUUCAGGAAUCUGAACUCGGAGGACCCUUCCUCGGUAAAGAUGAAAAGGGACAACCGUUUUCCAGAAGGUGAUAAGAAACUAGCGGUGUGAAUCCCAUGCCUCGCCCUGGAUCCAAAGGUAUGUGUGCAAGUCAAUUCGGGCCUCUGUGGCCUCCAAGGGCGCUGACUGGCCCAGCCUUGGAGGUUUCCAAACAGCAGGAAAACAUGUUCAGCUGUGCAACGAUUUGCCACGCAAUCAUCUGCCAAGGCAAGCCCAGCGGUCCACCCCAGUUGUGUUUGUUCAGGACAAAUAUUUACCUGUUUUACAUUUAUGGAGUAAUCCUAAUGCCUUCGCAGUCUGGAGGGUAUUUUUGCAGAGCUGAAUGAGUCUCUAUUCUGGAGCCAUAGGAUCACGUAGUUGAAAAAGCCCUGAAAAUAUCAUGUUAAUCCCGCUUAACGGGGAGAGGGGGUCUCCUUCGGGGAGGGGAUUCAAGGUGUCGGAAACUAGACAGAGACUGCCUCCGAAUUGUGCACUUGAAGAUGGGUUGGGUUUUUUAAUUUUUAAUGUUUAUUCAUUUUAGAGACAGACAGACAGACAGACAGAGUGAGUGAACAAGGGAGGGAUGGAGAGAGAGGGAGACACCGAAUCCGAAGCAGGCUCCAGGCCCCGAGCUGUCAGCGCAGAGCCCGACGCGGGGCUCGAACUCACGAACCGCGAGAUCAUGACCUGAGCCGAAGUCGGACGCUUAACCGACUGGGCCACCCAGGCGCCCCGUAAGACGGCCUGGCAACGUCCGAAGACCGUAAUCUUGGACUGAAUGUGCACUCGCCCAGCAGAGACAGCAAAUUAUACCCUCAGGGAAUCUUCCCUCAGGAGGGCCACGGUUUUGUGGGCAUAUUCUUUCCACGGUGAAGAAAUAAAAGUGAAUCUAGGGGUAAACCACUUUGCCCGGUGCACGUUCACAAAGCCUGAUCUUUGCCGCGAAGAUGGGCACGUAAGGCUUGUUAAGUGAAUGUUAAUAAGCAGGUGCUCGGACCUUCUUAGAAGGCUGGUUAUCUCCCGUUUCAGUCAUUAGUGGCCCAUGGGAAUAGUGGCUCCAUAAAACCUUGUGUAUUUUCUUUCGAGAUUUCUCUGUCAGGCUUAUGGCGAGGCCUACGAGGGGUGCUCGCCACCCAGAAAUGAUGCACGUGGGGGACUUCGGCAUCACAGGCCACGUCCGUCCCGGGAAUGGCCUCGCCCUUCAGAGAGCAGUGUCACCUCCGCAGGAUGCCGGCUGCUUAUGCGGAGGCUGUGGCACGAGGAGAUGGCAGGAGACUUGCCAUCAACGUCGGGACAACGUCAGAGUCUAGAACCGCUCUCACUCCGUGCCCAGCGUUGCUCUACUCUGGGCAGCGUGAGACAGCGACACCACUUUGAGCCAUUUGGAUCGGGCGGCCUGUGGCUUGCGGCCAAAUACGUCCUCAGGGAGACAAGGCUCACGUGCCCAGGCGACCCAGAACCCAGACUCAGGAGACCUGAGUUCAUUCUAGUCCCAGCUCCCCCGGAAAUUUCACCCGAUGUCACUCUCUUCGCCUGCACAGUGUGGAGGUGGGUAAGAUACAUACCAAGGCCAUUUCCAUCCAUAAAGUCCCGCUGGGGUAUCUCCGUCCACAUUCACUGGCACGGAGCCUGAGGUCCGUGGUGGCUUUGGUUUUGCCUUCUCUCCCUCUCUCCUCCUUUGGAAAACUGGCCACACCGUGCCGGCUGAGUCUCUCUUCUUGUUGGAAGCCGGGGCGGUCUUUGUUUCCGUGAGGCAUGGACGUCUCCACGUGGGAAGUCGAAGCCACAGGCCAGCGAGAAAAUGGAUCCGCUUUGCGGCGCAGUUAACUCUAUGGGAAACAACGAUAAUUGCUCUGGAACCGAACACCAGCCUCCCCUUGCGCUCACUGAUAACGAUGCAAAUUCUCCCGCUUGCCUAUAAUGUGGCUCAGAACAAAAAUGCCUUUUCUGGUCCGUGCUGGGAAUAAUUCCUGAAACUCAGUGAAAAUCCCAGGCACCCUUUGUGUUAAAACGAGUUUUCGCAGCUUCCACUUGCAGAGAGAGCCAGAUUACAUAAUUGCAUUCAGGAGGCCACCACUAGAAAGUAGCUCAUGUGCACGAUCAACGCUAAAUUCUUUGGGGAGGGGGGGAAAGAAAUACACCUUCUUGGACUUUCUUUGUUGUACUCUUCACAAUCGAGCGCAAUGGCCAUCAGGGGUCUUCUUCUGAGCUGUCACAUUGCUUAAAUGAGUGCAUGUCGGACAUUUCCAGAGGGGCGAGCUCGGUAGGCACUGAAAAGGGAACGGUCUCCUCGAG